rnacentral:rRNA from 1 species
UGCAUAUCAAUAAGCGGAGGAAAAGAAACUAACAAGGAUUCCCCUAGUAACUGCGAGUGAAGCGGGAAAAGCUCAAAUUUAAAAUCUGGUGGUCUUUGGCCACCCGAGUUGUAAUCUAGAGAAGUGUUAUCCGCGCUGGACCGUGUACAAGUCUCCUGGAAUGGGGCGUCAUAGAGGGUGAGAAUCCCGUCUUUGACACGGACUACCAGGGCUUUGUGAUGCACUCUCAAAGAGUCGAGUUGUUUGGGAAUGCAGCUCAAAAUGGGUGGUAAAUUCCAUCUAAAGCUAAAUAUUGGCGAGAGACCGAUAGCGAACAAGUACCGUGAGGGAAAGAUGAAAAGAACUUUGGAAAGAGAGUUAAACAGUACGUGAAAUUGUUGAAAGGGAAACGCUUGAAGUCAGUCGCGUCAGCCAGGGAUCAACCUUACUCUUCUGUGGGGUGUACUUCCUGGUUGAUGGGUCAGCAUCAGUUUUGGCUGCUGGAUAAAGGUCAGGGAAAUGUGGCACCUCCGGGUGUGUUAUAGUCUCUGAUCAGAUACAGUGGCUGGGACUGAGGAACUCAGCACGCCGCAAGGCCGGGGUUCGCCCACGUUCGUGCUUAGGAUGCUGGCAAAAUGGCUUUAAUCGACCCGUCUUGAAACACGGACCAAAGGAGUC